GAUCCACCGUGAAUAUCAUCGACACGCUUAAACUUUACAACCAUGGCGGCCAUCUUUGCGCCCGUGGCGUACUACCUCUCAAGCAAGUACGCGUGCGCCCGCGUGCGCUCACUCAAAUUUCGCUGCGGUCCGGCCCGCCCGUCGUAGCGUUGCGGUACGCAGGGCUGGCCAACAUUGAUGCCGAGAAGGACAACCGCAUAAAAAAAUUGGAAGAAGAUUUGCGCGCGGCGAAAAUCUUGAUACACGAAGCCGGAAGUCGGGAUGGCAGCACAUCGGAGAAGGCAGCGGAUUUGUCAUCUACACCCUCGACCGACGCACGUGCAGCAGCUUCUAAAAGUUGUGCCGUCGCGUGAGCCUGUAGGUUCAGUAGUGUUGAAACCAAAUGCUGAGCAUCUUCCUCCGCCACUCUCACAAACUGUAGUGGAUUUUGGCCAUGCCCAGAAAUUUCAGGUCAGUUCACGGCCACUCUGCCUCUCGUGCACAGCAAAGGAUCGGAGAUAAUUAGCUUCUAAGGACCCCCUUCCCCAAUCACCCCCUCCUGGUACAGAUCACCGCGGGAGCCGCACGCAUAACUAAGGUUUUUGUGGACCUUCAAAGCCAGCGGCAGUUUGUAUCUCUGAGGAAGCCUGCUUUGCUUCCACUUAAUGGCAGCUUCAGAGCUAUGUUUACCGCCGGUGUGGGAUUCAUUAUAAUAGGAAGAGCGUCUCCACAAUUUUGUCUGGUCUUGGAUUUAAUAUCACACUACCACUAUCCAACAUAAUGCCAGUGUGAGGCAUAUGAACAUGAUAACAAAAUAUUUAUUUCCACAGCAGCGUCACCACUGAUGAAAUGUCACUUGUAACACAGGCGAUUUUAACCGAGCCAGUUUUCCAUUGUGUCAAACAUAUUUAUGCAUCCUACCUCUCCUUCCCAAGCUAAUAUAAUUUUACUAAUAUUAAACUAAUUUUACCUAUGCAAUGUUAAUAUAAGCCCUGGUAUGGGACUGUGAUAUUUAACUGUGUGCAUCUGAAAACAGUAUGUGUUCUUUCUAAACUUUAACCCUCACAACGGUUUGAUUCAUCAAAUGAAUUCCUAUACUUUUUAUAACUUGAUGAAUUCUUAUGGUCCUUGUGUUUAUCACAAUGACAUAUAAUUUAAAAAUACAAUUUCCACUGCAAAUGUACAAUUAGCAUUGUUCUCAAAUACUGUUGCUUUAUUUACAUGUGAUAAUAUUAUUAGCUUUAAUUGAUAUUCAUCUUCUAGGAUGAGCCAGAUAUAUUAAAGUACAUCUUAUUACAGAAUCAUUUUUUGGUAAGCAGCAUUUUGUAAAAAAAGGAGUUCUUUAUGACUUGAAGAAAUGUAUUUUAGCAUCUACAAGAUAACAUAUUAAAUGACUAAUGACCAACUUUACUAAUUUCCUUAAAAUCUACAGUUAUGCUAUUUGCUUGCACCAUAAAACCUGUAUUUCUUUCCUCUAAAUUUGCUUCAUCUAGUGUCCUUGUGCUAAUAUAAAAAAAACCCAACAAAUAAAAGAUUUCAAAUACCUCUUUAUUAUACAGCAUCUGGAUUUCAGUCAGAAUUUUAGUUUUCACCACUACAAUUCUCAUUCACUGGGCAGGUACAUGAAACAUAACAUGGGGUAUGAAAAUAAAGUUGCAUACUUCACCAUGUGCAGUGACAAUAACAUUGCUCAAAUCUGAGAUUAAGGUAACGAGACAAAUUUUUAAUCUAUACCCCAUUCC